AUGAACGCUGGCGGCGUGCCUAAUACAUGCAAGUCGAGCGAACAGAUAAGGAGCUUGCUCCUUUGACGUUAGCGGCGGACGGGUGAGUAACACGUGGGUAACCUACCUAUAAGACUGGAAUAACUCCGGGAAACCGGGGCUAAUGCCGGAUAACAUUUAGAACCGCAUGGUUCUAAAGUGAAAGAUGGUUUUGCUAUCACUUAUAGAUGGACCCGCGCCGUAUUAGCUAGUUGGUGGGGUAAUGGCUUACCAAGGCAACGAUACGUAGCCGACCUGAGAGGGUGAUCGGCCACACUGGAACUGAGACACGGUCCAGACUCCUACGGGAGGCAGCAGUAGGGAAUCUUCCGCAAUGGGCGAAAGCCUGACGGAGCAACGCCGCGUGAGUGAUGAAGGUCUUCGGAUCGUAAAACUCUGUUAUUAGGGAAGAACAAAUGUGUAAGUAACUGUGCACGUCUUGACGGUACCUAAUCAGAAAGCCACGGCUAACUACGUGCCAGCAGCCGCGGUAAUACGUAGG
rnacentral:rRNA from 1 species